AUGGAACCAGCCCUUGUGGAUGAAAAACUUAUUCCUUGGGAGUUAAACAAGUUUAAGUUGAAUCCAUCACGUAAUGGUGAUGUCAUUGCUCAUUAUCAAAUCAAUAAGCCUUCAGAUCUCACUGCAACUGCUCAGUUAUCACCAAUGGCUAGGCCUCUAGUCUGUUUGCAUCUAAAAGAGUCAGAAAAUUUGCCUAAGAUAUCUAUUAUGAAUCUGAGGCAUCGGUAUAUUUUACGAGUUGAAGCUGUACAAGAAUUGCAACUGCCUGUCUUGAAGCAGAAAAAUAUUGCUGUUGUUGUGGAGCCUCAUGAUGGACCUCUCACUUGUUUUUUAGUCCGCUUGGUUCUGACCGAGAGGCGCAGUAAUGCCGUCCCAUCACAGUCUCUUAGAGAUGUUAUAAGACAAAUUGUAGAGGCUAUUGAAGAGCUCAGAAUAAAUGGAGUCUAUCAUGGCAAUCUUACAAUACAUAAUAUAUACCAUUCAAGAGUUGGUGGUGCUAUUGUAGUGAAGUUGGUUAAUUUUCAAAACAGAGAUAUCGAAUUGGAGGCUGCACAGUUGAUGGACUGGGUUGGGCUUGGUAAUAUUCUUCAUACUAUUUCAACUGCAGCAAAGUUCAGGGAUAAUACUGCCUCGUGCUCCAUAAUUGACCAUCUGGCAUCAAAAUUGAUGGCAUUAACAAGCACUAACUGUCUUCCGAGUAUAAAAAAGGAUACCCUGGAUGAUAUGUUUUUCUGGGACACCCGAAGGCGGACAAUGUUCUAUAUUCAUGAGAUCCCUAAAGCGCUGAACGAUAAUGACUUUGUUACAAGGGUGAAGAACCACGCGUGGCCACUACCAUGGGACAGUAAGCAUUUUGGACUCGUAAAGGCCAUGAACGACUACCGUGAAGAAGUUGCGGUAAGAGAUAAACACAAGGGAGUUAAUCCAGGUCCAGAAGUUCUAAAACAGUAUCAUUGCAAUGGACAAGAUCCAAUUCACAAUGUACAGUGUAUGAGCGGAGCUUACACUCACCAGGACAAAAUAGAGAAGGACAUUAAAGAUGAUAAAGACAAGCGAAUGUCGGUGGAUGUGGCUGUCCAGAAGGAGCAGCCAGAGUUGUGUCUUGCCCUACGUAGGUUGCUCGCAGGGGAAGCCUUCUAG
rnacentral:rRNA from 1 species